rnacentral:sRNA from 1 species
CCACAUAUCUCCAUAACAAUGGGCAUUUUCAAAACUACGGACAUCCGGAUUAGAUCCUGAGCUUUCCAUUGAUAUUCAUAAAAAGGAACCCCCGCAUAUAGAUAAGUAUAACUAUCCAUUUGUCGAACAACGCUGGACGGGAUAAUAUUACGUAAUGUCUCUUAUCUCGGCAGGGACUUUUGGAGACAUAUACACGCAUAUCUCCACAACCAGCCAACUUCUAGGGAGCACUUUGACAUGCCCAUAUAGCUCAAGGUCUAGAUCACACAUCGAGAUAAGAAAAAUGGGAUCCCCCACACGUAUAGGUGGUAUUGUUGUCCAUUUACAGAACGUCUCACAAAAGGUAAUGUUACGUAAGGUCCCCUUAUCUCAGCCGCUCAUGACACGCACCUCGCGCGAAACAUGCACCCACAUUCCCUUUCAUCCAUCCUUUCCCAUCACUUCUUUUCCAUGAGGACAAACAUCACUAUGUUGUCCCAUCAAAGGAUCCAUCUUCUAUCACUGUCCUUCGACUGACUGACCGCUUCUAUUCUACAAAAUGAGCCUCCCUCGCAUUCUACCCGGCAUUCUUCAGUCGCCUGGCAUCCAACGAGCUCCCCGAAAGUGAAACUCCUCGCGCCUCAUCACCACCACUGCGCGACGACGUCGGGUAACACGAUAUCCUUUCCGGAGAGGUUCGCCUCGACGGAGGCCCUUAUGGGCUGACGCAAGGAUGGUGCAUCUCUCUUUUGAGAUCACUUUGCCUCGGGAUUCGUGCCAACUGACCGAAUCAAGCGGUGUACGGCUGAUGUCUCCGGUGUUCGCCAAACAAUCAUCCGUACUCUCCGUCCUCCUCUUCUCUUCGACCUAGGGCAAUAUCGUACAUAGGUAGAGAGCGUCACAGAUCGUCUGCCAGUGUCUGUUUCCGAGCUCAGUCCUUACUAUAAACCAGACCAGUCGUGCGGUGCACUCAACCAAGAGAAGCAAUUAGUGCAGGAGAGAAAUUAAUUACCUGUUCACCUAUCUCUUUAUUUCAAGACGGAAACAAACUCGCAAAGCAUGCAACGGAGGAAGUCGACGAGUCAAGCAGAGAUCACUCUCAGACAUUUAGUCGACAUGAUUGUCUUGUCUCUUUGGAGAAAAGUGGUAAUAAGGGCUGGUUGCUUAGUGCGUCAUUACUUGUAAGUCGGCUGCCUUUCGGGCUUAUCAAUAAGCUGUGGUGAGAGCACAAAUGUUACACUGUUGGAUGAUUGGGAAACAAACAGUAGCAGCGUCCGCGUUGCUCGUGGAGGAUGUGUCAAGUCUACCCAAAAUUGGCUAUAGGACGGAACACAUCAAGCUAACAGUUACGCCAGUCUCUGCCUUCUUCCUGUCGUGACUCCUAUCAUUACCACGCUGCGCCUCAACUCUAACUCUGAGUAGGAUUCUGUGUCGCAUCUCUACGUAUGUAUACCUAUCAGUCUCUUCUCCUGCCAAACGUCCAUCGCGUCCUGCCUUUCCACUUCAAUCGUUGACGCGCUAUAUAUUAUCUCAACGUCAUCUCUGAAGUGCAUUAUCCUUGGACAUGACGACUUGUGCCACUGCUGAAAUCCAUGAACUCAACGACGCCAUGACGCCAUCAACUGAACCAUACACCAACAUCUCAGCCAGGUCAAGGGCGCUAUGGUCGAAAUUGAGCCUCCCACCCUUACAGGCCCGCGAAGGAAUGACUUGAGAGUUAGAGAGACGAGCUCCCUCACCGUUACGGACUAUGAUCUAAAAAAGGUAUACUCUCUAGGAGACCAGGAGAAAGAGACAGUCAUUUUUACAUAUUUGAUUUUAUUUUAAUUUUUACAUAGUGUAUAACGACGCAAUAAAUUAAACACGAACCAAAUGCAACCUCCU